GACGUAGGGCGCAAGCGUUUGUCCGGAUUUAUUGGGCGUAAAGAGCUCGUAGGCGGCUCAUCGCGUCUGCCGUGAAAACCCGCAGCUCAACUGCGGGCUUGCGGUUGAUACGGGUGGGCUGGAGUUCGGUAGGGGAGACUGGAAUUCCUGGUGUAGCGGUGAAAUGCGCAGAUAUCAGGAGGAACACCGGCGGCGAAGGCGGGUCUCUGGGGCCGAUACUGACGCUGAGGAGCGAAAGCGUGGGGAGCGAACAGG
rnacentral:rRNA from 1 species